UAUCAUGCGUCGAGCGGCGGACGGGUGAGUAAUGCAUAGGAAACUGCCCAGUAGUGGGGGAUAGCCCGGGGAAACCCGGAUUAAUACCGCAUACGCCCUUCGGGGGAAAGCAGGGGAUCUUCGGACCUUGCGCUAUUGGAUGUGCCUAUGUCGGAUUAGCUUGUUGGUGAGGUAACGGCUCACCAAGGCAACGAUCCGUAGCUGGUCUGAGAGGAUGAUCAGCCACAUCGGGACUGAGACACGGCCCGAACUCCUACGGGAGGCAGCAGUGGGGAAUAUUGGACAAUGGGGGCAACCCUGAUCCAGCCAUGCCGCGUGUGUGAAGAAGGCUUUCGGGUUGUAAAGCACUUUCAGCGAGGAGGAAAACCUGACGAUUAAUACUCGUCAGGCUUGACGUUACUCGCAGAA
rnacentral:rRNA from 1 species